rnacentral:rRNA from 1 species
CCUGAUGACCAUAGCGAGUCGGUCCCACCCCUUCCCAUCCCGAACAGGACCGUGAAACGACUCCACGCCGAUGAUAGUGCGGAUUGCCCGUGUGAAAGUAGGUAAUCGUCAGGCUCCUCAUGCUGUCCCCGAUACCCCGGCCUCUCCA